UGCUGCAGUCAGCUCCAUAAGGAUUUGGGCAGUGACACUUUUUUUUAGUUAUUUUGCUUUUGUACACCAACACAAUGGAGGUGAUAUAAAACAAUCAAGAUGCACUUAAAGUGUAGACUUUCAAAUUUAAAUUAAGGUGUUAAACAAAAAUGUUGCAUUAAUCAUUUUGAAGUUAUGGCCAUUUGCAUACGUGGUGUCUUCAUUUUCUGAGGCCAUAAGACAACUGAACAAACUACAUAUAAGAAUUAUUUUUAGCACAAAUCAUUCUUUUUACUGACAGCUUUAUAGAGACAUGUCAGGGGAUAAAUACAUUAACAUUUCCUAGUCCUUGAAAUCUGACUUCAAUUACAUCAUUCAGAAUUACAAACAGUAUGGUACUCUUUGGCUUGGAGUAUGCAGUGCACAAAAACUGAGUAUGGUAUUCCUGAACACAGUACUGUGCAAUAAGGAAGUUAGUGAGGGAAGCCACCAAGAUACUUAGACAACUGGGUUGUAAAGGGGUUGUAGGUUUCUUAGAGUGUGAUUGGAGAAAUUAUGUGUAGUUCAACUUUUGUCUGUUGCACUACCAGUUAUACAGCUUCCUAGUGGGGUGGCACAGAGAAGGAUCUUCACAGAAGAAAAUAUCAAGUCUCCCAUCUGCAUUUUGGUAAGCUGUAGCAGAAAUUUCACAUCUUUGAAGAAAAUCCUUCUCUGUUCUUCUCCACCAUGAAGACGUAUGUAGAUGCAAUGGACACAAUAUCUCAUUCAGAGUUGUCUGGGAGUCUUGGUGGUAUUCCCUCAGUAGUCUCCUUGUAUGGUCACUUGGUUUUUUGGAACUCCCUACUCCAGACAGAUGUACCAUACAGUACCAUACUGUUUGUAUUUCUUAAUGAUUAUUGCAAAUAAAGUCCAAAACAUCAAGUCUUGGCUUCAGUCUACCAUGUGCCUUUUGGUAAACUGUAGCUGAAAUUUCACUUUUUUUUUUAAAGAAAAUCCUUCUCUGUUCUUCUCCACUACGAAGAUGUAUGGAGAUGCAACAAACACAAUAUCUCAUUCAGACAACUCUGAACAAGAUAUUGACAAGUCAUACAAAGUUGAACUAUGUAUAGCUUUUCCAGUCAAACUCAAAGAAACCCACAAGUCCUUUGGAGUUGUCUGGGUGUCUUGGUGGCUUCCCUCACUAACUUCCUUAUUCCACAGUCAAGUCAUGAGAUGGAUGGUCUUCAU